ensembl:lncRNA LINC02987 long intergenic non-protein coding RNA 2987
GCUUCCGGCCGCUGGUCGCAGGGCUGCGGGACUACAAUCUUCGCAUGAAAUGGAAGAGAGGGUGGUGCGGAUAGCUUGAGGAAGAGCAUCAAGCCUCCUCCCGCCCAGGGGGCCUCCUGCUUUCCUAAGCUGCUGUGGAAUCGGCCUGAGGUCCCAGACGCUGUCCAUUGUGCUGCUGCUCUCUGCUUUCUCCAGCCAGAGUGCCAGUUCAUCCGCUUUUGGGAGAACUCCGCCGCCUGGCCUGCCCGCGGAAAAGGUCACAGCUUUGCAGGGGGUGACAUGGGCUAUGGCUUCCUGGAAAUGUCACCCUCACUAGCGCCUUUUAGAUAGAUGUGAAUUUUGAGACAUGAGGGAGAGUAAUUAUUGGUUUACCCAGGAGAUGCUAAGAGCAGAGGAGAAAACCCUAAUUUCCAGGCAUGUGUCCUGAGCCAGGGACAGGCUGGCCAGACCCUAAGCCCCCAGUGCCGCCAGAGAGCAGCCUACUGCCCUGAUUUGUGUGGAAUCCCCUUCGUGCUGCUGGGCCUUAGCGUCAGGGACAG